CAGUCGCCGCGGGAAUACAGAGGGUGCAAGCGUUAAUCGGAAUUACUGGGCGUAAAGCGCGCGUAGGUGGUUCGCCAAGUUGGAUGUGAAAUCCCCGGGCUCAACCUGGGAACUGCAUCCAAAACUGGCGAGCUAGAGUAUGGUAGAGGGUGGUGGAAUUUCCUGUGUAGCGGUGAAAUGCGUAGAUAUAGGAAGGAACAUCAGUGGCGAAGGCGACCACCUGGACUGAUACUGACACUGAGGUGCGAAAGCGUGGGGAGCAAACAGGAUUAGAUACCCCUGUAGUCCCUGUCUCUUAUAA
rnacentral:rRNA from 1 species